UUGUGUGCGUUCCCCUACCGAUUCCACCCUCUUGCUCAGUUUCCUCGUUCCUACGCUCGCAUUCAACGCUCGAUCGGGAAAGGGAAGCUUGUGGCAGCAGCUCGCUUGUGGAGGUGGAACGGAGCAAAAGCGAAACGGAGAAAGGCUCCCUACCGAUAGAGAGGGUGUAAGAGGGAAAGACGAAGGAAGCUGCACGAACCGAGGUGUGCGAAGGACGCAGGCGUCCAGGACGCGAGGCGACGCUGCUCGACGACGCUGCAUUGGCAGUUGCACCCCAGCCACACCCGGUACGAGCCAUGUAGUCGGGCUACCCUCCACCGCGAUACACGGCGGACAAUUGUUGCUUCUGCGCCCACAGGUGGUACAUCUUCGUCUUCGAUUUUCGUACUGCUAGACGACGCGCGGUCCGUCUCUCGCACGUCCAGCUCUAACCACCGUAAUCCGCGGACACGAGUCUGGAAAGCUCGCUCGACCACGCGCCUCGUCUGCACGAAACCAGCACUCUACUCCACGUCCAGCCCUCGUGCCGAUACGAUUCCUCCUCGUCGUUCUUCGUUGCGUGCCGCUGCUUCGAAUCGUCGUGGUCGUCGUGGUUACGCUUCGUCGUAUCGUGCGCGUCCGUAUACCCUGCGACCAUUUCGCAAAAAAGCCUUUUUCUUAUCGAAGCUUGUGCGGUGAACGAAGAAAUAACUCUGUGCUGCUGAAUCAAGGGAAGAAGAAGAAGAAGAAGAGUGAAAAAAAGAAGGGAAAAAUCGAGGAAGCAUAAAAGCGUACGUGGCUCGUCGACCCCGAAGCUCGGAUGAUCCGAACAGGCCGCACGAGGGCAGAGUUGUAGCUUCACGCGGUUCUACGCGAUCCUCUUUUCCCGGUGCUUCCCGUCGUGCCCAGGGUGAAAAAAGCACGGACAGAGGGUGAAGAAAAAGCUUGCUUCGUUCGCGAGACGCAGCAAGACGCAGAGGGGAGAGGGGACCACUUACCCAGAGGGAGGUUAUCGACUACACACGUAAGGCGACAGCGCACACGUACGGAUACACAAACAUCGCGGACCUGUUGUCCAACUUGUUGCUCGUCCCUGCAAAAGGCACACCCGCCUGCCUCGCACAACCAGUUUUCGAAAAAUAAGCGACCCGAGCUAGACAGCCAGCUAAAUAUCAACCUAACGUCGAUCGGAUCCGACGAGCCUGGCAGAGCAGCCUGCCACGCUCUACCCUUCAGCUACCUCGCUUUCCCUCGCCGGGCAGCCUGAUAAAUCAAUCCCAAGCUGACCCCAAAAGUCCACCCUUAACUGGAUAAUUAUCUUCUUUGCUUCCACACAGACGAGGGACGAGGAUAAAGCUCAACAAGUGUUUGCUUUGAUUUUCUAUCGCUCAAAAGUUUGCUUCGAGGAAGGGAGGCGGGGUGGUUCGCCAGUGUUCGCCAGGGAUAUCCGUCGUUCUCGAAAUCGGUGAGAUGAGGGUAUCGUCGCGAGUACGGACACGCCCGACCACCACGGUACCGAAGAAGCCGAGUGUUGCCGGCAGAAUGGAACGCUGCUCGGACCAGCCGGGCGAGUAGACGGUUUUAAAAAAAAUUUUUUUUUAAUAAAAAAAAUAUGUUCACGAGAGACACGAGACUAAAACAUUUCACGAACCAAAGAAAAUACGAUACCUGUAUAAUGUACGAGUGAAUUACCGAAGUGGUGGGGGUCUUGACAAAGAAAACUCGUGGCGUCGACUAAAUAUAUUAUACACAGAUGUAGGUGUACGGAUUGUUUAGAUUCCGUAGUUAUAAAGGAUGAACGUAGCGAUCGGUAGAUACGAUCGGUACGAAGGCGUGAGGAAACGGAAAACAGGGCCGAAGUUAGAUGAUUAAGAGGGAUUAAACGGGAUCGAUCGAAGCGAGUACCCGAAGCACCACGUAAUCUUCCAGCCGUGAAUACAACGAAAGCAAUACUACAAACAAGGUAAAGCAACAAAGAAGAAACGAAGAAGAAGAAGAAGAAGAAAAAAAUAAAAGAGAAGCUAAAGGCAAGCGGCACUCUGUUCGCGCCGUACAACUCCGAGUCACCUUUCGACGAGCCAAUAUAUUUACUGGACAUCCUCGUUCAAGAAAGUUUCACCCAAGCCGUUUGGACUCGAUGAGUUUCGACUGACACUCGCUUCGCCGAAAGAUAUUUUAAUAUAAAACGUAUACACCUGUAUCUAUAGAUAUAUAUAGAGAGAGAGACACACAGACGCGCGUGACGCGUGUCUAUAGAAAAGGCAUAUAAGAUAGACGUAUAGAUACGGAGCUGUUUUGUAAGCGAUCGUGCAACGACAUCUAGAAUUAAAAUAACCGCCCCCUCAAUCGCGCCGCGAUAACCUCUGAUCGGAAUCGACGUUUCCGCUAGAGCUGCUCUUCGCCGGACACACCGGACGGAAGUGGCGCAUAACCUGAAUCGAUGCGACAUCAACAGCGUUGAACGAGGAUUGUUCUUCCGAAGAGAUCCACCCGCGAGAGAGGACCAAACGAAAAAUUCAAUCGCGUUUUGGUUAAUCGUCUAAGGGAGACCCGAGGAGGAGGAGGAUGCAGUGAACAAUGAGGAACAACUACUUAGGUUGAAAGAAAUUCGUCAGAGAAUCGAAUCGCAUCUUCGGUUCCUGGUGGCCUCCACGGAGACCACCAGGACGAUAUUUUACAUCGACCAAAGGACCGUCGUCUGUUCUCCAACGUACCACGAAGGAUCCUCUUCGAUCAGUGAAGCAGGGACGAUAAAUAAUUCAGAAAGAGGAAACUUGUGUCGAGACUUGAUGCGCCACUCGGUGUUUCGUAAACCAUCUACCCCGAAGAGCCGUGAAAUCGCGCGGACGUUGAAGCAGUUCGGUUAUCCGCGAGCUUUUCGCUAAAUUUUUUUCAUCGAAAAUAAGAGAAGAGAGAGGAGGGCAAGAUGCCGCGCUGUUACAUGGUGAAGAAGGCCCUGUGCAACAAGUACAUAAGCAGCGUUGCCAGAGGAUUCGAAAGCUGGGGUCGUGGAAGGAGCCCGCCAUCGCCAACCACCAUGCAGAUACCAGUCUCGCCCAUAGAAGGCAGCGUUGCACCCCCUGUUGCUCAAGAGUACCUGAGCGCGCAGUCCCAGGAAACGAGAGCGACGACAGGAAGGAAAACAGCGGAGCAAGAGGUAUCCAGGGAGAGGCUAAACGAGCCGAGCAAUGGGAACGCGACAUCCACGUCGAACGCAUCGAGCAAUGCCAUCAUCGUCGCGACGGAAGCUCCAGCGAUCGUCGCACGGACAGAGACGACGACGACGACGGUGAUUACCUGUACCACAGGUUCCUCCUCAAUAAUUAUCCCAGCAGCAACAGAGUCCAUCGGUUCCAGCGUCGAGAAUACGACAAUGGUGACGUCCGCGUUACCGUUCACCGCACCCAGAUCGCCGUCCAGUACAGUCACGGAACAACAGAUGAGCGUGCUUCAUCAUUUGCCACCGGGAGAGCCGUCUCCUCCUUCGAGUACAGCGACGCCGUAUCAUCUGGAAGAAAGCACCAAUCAUUCGACGUCCGAAUCGAGGAUAGGGUCCGAUUGCAACGUCGUCGUUACCAACUACGCGUCCUCGAUGUUCAAAGAUCGUUCCGCAGCUGAAACGGAAGCCGCUCAUGAUCUGUUAGAAUUGUCGAGGUCUCUGCCACCCUUGCCACCACCCAGCGUCGCCAUCGGACCCCAAAGCGUAAUCGAGACUCCCGCGACCGACAUCCAAGAGAUGACCGUCUACCAACCGGACCAACCGAUCUACCAAGUGAACACCAUCGACUUAGCCAGCUCCACCGUGUACACCCAUCACCAGCAACAGCAACCACCCACCGCGAGCAUCAUCUACGAGCCAAGCGCGACGAUCGUUCAGCAAACGGGCAGCGUGUUCAUACCUCUGUCGCCGGUGCAAGAGAUCCUGCUGACCUACAGCACACCGUCCAUCCCGUGCACGCCGAUCGUUGCCCAGCAACCGCCGCAACCGCCACCGCUGCAGCAACAGCAGCUUCAACAACACCAGCCCAUCGAGACUGCGCCACCGCUCACGCCCCCUACCUCCGAGUGCAGCAGCGACAUAGAGAACAACAAUCCCAAUUCGCAGCCCAGCCAAAAGGACAAGGAGGUGCAGACGGUGACCGAACAGACGGAAGUAAAACCGGCCAGUUAUACCUAUGACACUCUACUGGUGGCCGAUGGAAGGUCGAAGAACAAGAAGAUCGCACCCAGUCAGAAGAACCAGGAGACCGAACCCAUCGAGACACCGGAGACGUCCAAGAUCGGUCGUUACGUCUGUUGCGAGUGUGGUAAACAAUACGCAACAUCCUCGAACCUAUCGCGGCACAAGCAAACCCAUCGCAGCAUCGACUCCCAAUCGGCGAAGAAGUGCAUCCACUGUGGCAAGGCGUACGUGAGCAUGCCCGCCCUGGCGAUGCACGUGUUGACACACAAGUUGACGCACAGUUGCGGCGUCUGCGGCAAGAUGUUCUCCAGGCCUUGGUUACUGCAAGGUCAUCUCAGAAGUCACACCGGGGAGAAACCAUACGGUUGCGCCCACUGCGGCAAGGCGUUCGCCGAUCGGUCCAACCUGCGCGCCCACAUGCAAACCCACUCGGCCGAUAAGAACUACGAAUGUCACAAGUGUCACAAGUCGUUCGCGCUCAAGUCCUACCUGAACAAACACCUGGAAUCGGCCUGCCAGAGGGAGAACGACGAGAGCAGCAACGACGUCGAUACGCCCCAGUAACCGUGUUCCUUUUCGAUGGACGCUUGUCGACGCUGGGGUCUUUAAUGUUCAUCCGUCAGGUUCGCGUGAAAGAAGCGUAAAACCUUCCUGGACGAUGGGUCAAUUCGAUAACUUCAGCGACGACAGUGAAUUCCUUGCUUCAACUUCCUCGAAAACUUUUCGAGAGCAUCGAAGUUCAGAACUACACACGAGGAGAAAGGUCCGUGAAGCGAGGCAAUCGAGCGUUUCUUGUCGUCAUCGUCGAUGCCACAGGUGAUCUUUCGCCUUUCGAACAGAAAUCUUCAUCGUCGUACGGCAUCCAACGCGACCUGGAUAUGGGUAAGCGAACGAUGGUUCAUUAAAUCCACGGUCAAUGUGAGAAAAAGAAAACGGUUCGUUAGAGACGUCUGGGAAUUUCAUCCCCUUGGAUUUUAUAAUCAGAGAAACGAAGAAGAUCCGAAGGGGUUAAAAUUCUAAAGAAAGAGGAGAAAGUGUUUUGAACGUACAUACAGGGAUACUGUUUAAGGCUACGCUUAAAAGGAACGGCGAUUUUCUUGGCAUCGAUCGCGGACACGAUGCGAUUCAAACGGCAUUCCUCUUGUCCCUCCGCAGUCAACGGAAAUCCGUUCACCGUCUGGUAAUCGAUAUUCGAAACUCGAGGGAAACGAAACGAAACGAAACGGCAAUCGUUCGUUCCCAAUGCUUGCUCGCGAUUAAGAAUCGACGAGGCUUUUUCGGUAAACGCGGCUACAGCCGAAUUGAUGCAAUACUAUCGAGGGACCAUCAAUUUGUGAGUAAAAUUCAUUUCGAUACGACGAUCGGGUCGAGAAUCAAAGAGCUUUUUCGAGGAUAGACAUAAACAGCUUCGGAUUCUCAAGCUUUUAUCGUUAACUACUUUAUCCUCUUCGAUACUCGAAACUUUGGACAAACUUGGCCACGAUCAUCCUUUUAUCUUGUCUUCUUCGUUUUGUAAGAAACCUGUGUCUAUUCUCUUUACCUGGAACAGCAAACACUUUGUACUUUAUUCGAUUAAUUGAUUUAAGAUAUUUUAUUUGAUCAUUUACCUGGAUUUUAGGGUAAACAGCGUACCUGAAUUUCGUGAGAUAAACGUAUCAUAAAAUGCUACUUAAAUGUUUCGUUCUAAUAUUCUGUAUGGAAAAUGGCCGAUUCGUGGUGGACGGUUAGGCGAAAACUUUUCUCCCAAAUUAGAAAUUUCCUCGAGACGUCUGGGAAGAGUCGUUUUUCCGAAAGUUCUAUCGACGCCGUCGGCGUACAAUGCAGGUAGAGAGGGGCAGAGGGCACACGUCGAAGGUUUUCAUCAACAUUUCACGUGAACUGGACCACCUGUUGAAUGCAGGAAUGACCAUUCGGUGGCAAAAGGGUCGCUCGUUCUGCUUCCCUGAAUUAUAGAACGUCCUCCUGUAAUUUCCUCAUUGUUAAAUACGCGAACUGAAUCGCGAUUCCGUCGCUUUCAAUCGUCGAAUGUAAACGUUAGACCAUCUUCGUUCCGAUGAUUUCUAGUCCAUAUGCUCUUUCAAUCGCUAUCCUAGUCGUAACACGUUAUUUCCUUCUAGUCUAUUUAAUCUACUCGUUUAAUUAUAUCCAAAGUACUUGAAGACUCCAAAUUGUCCAUGUGAUAUUAAUUUAGUAUUUCCUCGUCGAGUAAGGCACGACUUGAAAAACGGAAGGAACAAGAGGAAUGCCGAGCAAUGAAAUAAAAUAAAAUUAAAUUGUCUGGUCAAUGGAAAACCAAAAAGAAAAAUAAACUGAGGAGGAGGAGAAGAAGAAGAAGAUGAAGAGACUUACCCUCUAGUCAGCGAGCUACGCUUGAAAUGUAUCGUUUUAUCUUAGGUUGCCCUACGAUAAAGGGGCAGGCGUAUAUAGUCAGGGUGGAAAUUUUCAUUUCGUUCGUCCGUGUGUUGCUUUCAUCGUGAAAAACCGCGUUUUUUAUAUCACGUAGAGAUAUUUUGGUACGAGACAUUUUCAGCGAUUAGAGACGAAAUAGGGUUGACGAAUGAAUUGCGUGUAAAUCGGUUUAUUCGCGUAGAGUAAUUCAAAGGGCGCGAACCGGAGAGCUUUAACGGUGUUUAAGUUGUAAAAUGCAUAGAUCAACCCGCGAGUGAUUCAGAAGAAGAUAUAUUAAACAGGCUAUCGUUCUGAAUCACCUGCGCGUUGCUUAAUAAAUAAGUUUUAAAGUCAGAAAUAGACUUGCCUAACGCUUUCUAAUAAGACUUAGAUUAUUAAACCUCGUGGCUGUUGACUUGUACAUAAAUCCCGUUAUUUUUUCACGUUCUUAUUAAAUGAUUUAGCAUUUAAGCGUAAGGUUCCUAGUCAUGGCGAUCGUUACAUUUAUAUUUUUUCGUGAUCGUUUUCAUUCGUACGAGUUAAGCGAGUCUGGUUCUGACUGAGCUCUAAUGAAAUAAAAAAUCAAGAAAAAGGGAACAGCGUUAUCCUGAUAUCGUUCUGUGCGUUCGUUUCUACGGGACAUUAGCAGUAUUUCUUGUCCUGAUUCGUUGAAACAAGAAUCGACCUGGUUAAAGUAGGUCGUACGCAAUUUCGUCGCACCCUUUAACGAAUUAUUAUUAUCCACAGUUAAAAAAAAAAAAACAGUCUCGUCUUCACGCUGUAUUACGAUACUCGACAGUCAAUCGAAUCUCUAAUUAAUUAGAGUUAACCUCGUAACGAUAGUCAAUAAUAAAAACAAAGGAUAAUGAACUGUAACGUUAUCUCAAGGCGAAUCGUUCCGCGUUGCGGCAACGAACCGCAGUGCUGGGAAACUUUUUAAUCAUCGUCGACAUAGAUUUUCAACUUCAUCAAUUAUCACAGAAACGGAUAAUUCUCUCUAGAGCUCUUGCUCCGUCGCUCGAUAGAGGAGAUCGAAAAUUCACCUCCUCUCUUAGUACGUUAAAUUUUACUCUAUUUCGUAUAUACAUAUUUUGUUGGUCGCGUGACAGAGUGAAAUUUCGACGACGAUCGUCGGCUCGCCUCGUAUGGCGAAAGGCUUUCGGUUCGUUGCCGUUGUCGACGAAUGUUUCGCCGUUUCAAAGAUGUUCUCGAAAUGAAUAGCGCAGCUUCGGGGCUUGCCGACGCGAUUUCCUCGACGCUUUUCUCGACAGAGAAAAGACACGAUAACGCGUGGAAUUCAUUGAACGAGCCGGGGGAGAAACGGUAUCGCAAGCCGCAGAACUGAACUCGCGAAUACAAACUAACGUUAGAUCGUCGCCGUAGUGUACUUGAACGCAAAGAGAGAAAAAAAUACAAAAAAAAAAAAAAAAAAUGAAAAAAGAGGUGGUAAUUAUUAA